CUACGGGGCGCACCAGUAGGGAAUAUUGCGCAAUGGGGGAAACCCUGACGCAGCAACGCCAUGUGAAGGAUGAAGGCCUUUGGGUUGUAAACUUCUGUCAGCAGGGAAGAAAAGCAGUAGUUCGAAUAGGUCUAUUGUAUGACGGUACCUGCAGAGGAAGCACCGGCUAACUUCGUGCCAGCAGCCGCGGUAAUACGAAGGGUGCAAGCGUUGUUCGGAAUCACUGGGCGUAAAGCGCGCGCAGGCGGAUAGUUAAGUCAGUAGUGAAAGCCUAUGGCUCAACCAUAGAAGUGCUAUUGAAACUGGCUAUCUAGAGUCCCAGAGGGGAAGGUAGAAUUCCUAGUGUAGAGGUGAAAUUCGUAGAUAUUAGGAGGAAUACCAGAGGCGAAGGCGGCCUUCUGGCUGGGCACUGACGCUGAGGCGCGAAAGUGUGGGGAGCAAACAGGAUUAGAUACCCUGGUAGUC
rnacentral:rRNA from 1 species